ensembl:lncRNA
GAGAUAUUUCACUUCAUGCAUAAUGAAGAAAGUUGUUGAACCAAUACGUUAGAAAUACGUGAUUUACAGAGAAAUAAUGAUUUGUUAUUUCUUACUUAUUUGGCCUGUGUGGCUUAAGUUUAAGGAAAAAAAUCAAGCAUUUCAAGUAUCAUCAUUCAGGGCAGCUUUAGUAGCAGGCAUUCCUAUUCUUGUGUGAAAUAUUGUUUGCUAAUAGUGAAUAGAGAACCUUGAUAUUUUAUUUCCUACAUUUUAAGUAUUCCAACUCAAAUGAUAAACCAGAAAACUGCAGUCACUGGAACACUUUGAGCUUUGAUUACAUUGCGUGUGUUUGUAAUACCUGUUCCUCAAAGAACUCAUUCAACCAGUACAGAAUGCGCCCCAGAACAAUUUUCCCUUUUCUCUCGCAUUGCAUCUUUUACAUUAGCUUAUGCCGUAACAUUCCAUACGAACGCUUCUGACAUUUUGUGCUGAGACAUAUGAAAAUCGAUUAAGCUUCUCUAAGAAUGCUACCUUGUUUAGCAGUAUUUCUGCUUUGUUUUGAAAACAGAGAAACGUGAAAUCUCCAAUCUGAGGGAAAGAUUCAUGAUGAUGAUCUGGGAGCUGCUAAAUCACCCACCUGCUUCCCCAGCUGACCAACAAAGAGGUAGAAUAUCAUACAGGAGUGAGUUGAUGCAAGAUGGAGAGAGGAGAAAGAAAAGGAGCCUACCAAGAAAUAGCAGCACAAAGGACAGUGAACAAGAUCAUGUUGUCCAGAUGCCAAUUUCAGGAAAAACAGCUGUCCAGAUUUUAGGGAGAAAACUACUUCCUCAAGGCACCUGGAGUGAGGCUAGUCCGAUUUCAAACCCACUUCACAUCCCAAGCAUUGCGUGGAAGUAACCUCCACAGCGUGAAUUCCACAAGAUAUUCACCAUGUUGAAUAUACUUGAGGGAGAGAAAGUGGCAAAUCAGUAAUCG